AACGCACAUUGCGCCCCUUGGUAUUCCGGGGGGCAUGCCUGUUCGAGCGUCAUUAUAACCCUCAAGCCUAGCUUGGUGUUGGAGCCUGCCUCUGGGCAGCUCUUAAAAUCAGUGGCGGUGCCGUCUGGCUCUAAGCGUAGUAAUUUUUCUCGCUACAGAGUCCCGGCGGUUGCUUGCCAACAACCCCAAAUUUUCUAUGGUUGACCUCGGAUCAGGUAGGGAUACCCGCUGAACUUAA
rnacentral:misc_RNA from 1 species